rnacentral:rRNA from 1 species
UACGUAGGGUGCGAGCGUUGUCCGGAAUUACUGGGCGUAAAGAGCUCGUAGGUGGUUUGUCGCGUUGUUCGUGAAAUCUCACGGCUUAACUGUGAGCGUGCGGGCGAUACGGGCAGACUUGAGUACUGCAGGGGAGACUGGAAUUCCUGGUGUAGCGGUGGAAUGCGCAGAUAUCAGGAGGAACACCGGUGGCGAAGGCGGCCUCCUGGCUUAAUACUGACGCUGAGGUGCGAAAGCGUGGGGAUCAAACAGG